rnacentral:lncRNA from 1 species
GUGAACUGAAUAUACCUGGGGUGUUUUCACUAGGACCGGAACGAUAUGGGUAGGGGCCUACCUGACCUCAUCAAAUAGAAAGUCUUUUGCGUUGCAAAAUGGUUUCCAGUGACUAUCCCAUAUGGACACAGUUACUGCAUGAGCUGUGUGACAUACUGUUGGAAUGGAGAGGAUUUAAACGGUAUCUACAGCUGCCCUGAGUGCAGAAAUGCAUUCAACCCAAGGCCUGUGCUGAAGAAAAAUGUUAUGAUGGUGGGGGCUAUGGAGACACUAAUGACCAGUCUCCCAAGUUUCUUCUCAAGUCGACUGUUAUGCUAGACCUGGACGACGACGAGUGGGAUUUCUGCCUUAGUAAGAAACAAAAAGUUGUUAAGUCCUGCCUAAUUUGAGUCUCCUCGUUUCGUGAAACUCAUCUCAAGCAUCAACAUCAAGUUCUCGCCUUGAUGAAGCAUAGGCUUACCCUUUUCGACGCCGGUGAAAUUAAAAACAUUUGCCCUCAUUACAAUAAAGUGCUUGAAAUGUAUAUCAAUGUGAUCACUGCAUCUGUUUUGUGCUCCGUGAAUCAACACCACGGACAUAUCGUUGUUUCAGCAGCAGCAGAGGGCUGAGCAACAGAAAACGUUGAGGGAGAUACAGAAUACACGCCAGCAGAGGGCACAGGAAAGCAAGAGAAUGAAGUAAAAGAACUGAGACCUGCCUUGGAGUGUCUCAAGAUUUCAUCCAGCUGACAGUGGAUGCCAACACAGCAAAUAGGCAUCUCAUUCUGUCUGGGGACAAGAAGGAAGUGUCAUUCAGCUCAUAUGGUUCACCUAAGCCUCCCAGAGAGCUUUUCAUCUCCUAAAGCUCUGUGCAGAGAGGGUCUCCAGUGACUCCAACUGGGAGGCUAACUGGGAAGGCAGCCAUGUUUCUGUGGCUGUGUCGUACAAAGGCGUAGGGUGUCUUGAAAUUUGGACUACUCAGGUCCAGCUACGAGUACU